CAGUCAUACCAACGGGAAAUCAACCUUUUGGGUAUUGAAUUUUGGAGCUUGAAGAGUUUCAAAACCUUUGGGUUUCAUUAUUUGUGCUUUUUAGGCGUACUUUCCCGUACGGUAGGUUAACAUCGAUUUUGAACGUUAUAAAAUGACCGGAGGAAUGUAGCUUCGAUCUCGUAUUGAAGUGUUAUAGCCUUUGGUAGAUGUGAUGAUCAAGAUCGAGGAUUGCAACGAAUACCCUUUUGGGCUAUCCGUCUGAUCUCUGACACGUAGCCUUGGUAUCGAAAGCGUGCUUAUGAUGUCGAGGUAUACGAUCAAAAGGUUAGAACGCGAUUACA
rnacentral:rRNA from 1 species